AGCGAACGCUGGCGGCAGGCCUAACACAUGCAAGUCGAACGAAGCCUUCGGGCUUAGUGGCGGACGGGUGAGUAACACGUGGGAACGUACCGUUGGGUUCGGAAUAACGCAGAGAAAUUUGCGCUAAUACCGAAUGAGCCCUUCGGGGGAAAGAUUUAUCGCCGAAAGAUCGGCCCGCGUUGGAUUAGGUAGUUGGUGUGGUAAAGGCGCACCAAGCCUACGAUCCAUAGCUGGUCUGAGAGGAUGAUCAGCCACACUGGGACUGAGACACGGCCCAGACUCCUACGGGAGGCAGCAGUGGGGAAUCUUGCGAAAUGGGCGAAAGCCUGACGCAGCCAUGCCGCGUGAAUGAUGAAGGUCUUAGGAUUGUAAAAUUCUUUUACCAGGGACGAUAAUGACGGUACCUGGAGAAAAAGCCCCGGCUAACUUCGUGCCAGCCGCCGCGGUAACAC
rnacentral:rRNA from 1 species